UAACUUCCUUGUUGUCCCGUAUAUAAGGGCAGCUCUCAAAGUUGGUGUCGUUUGAAGCUUUCCUGGAUAUCCAGCGAUAUAUACCAGACUUUUUUCAGCUACGUGAUAGAGAAGCGAGUGCUGAUAUGAAGAUCGCCUUGAUUUCCAUUUUUUUCGUCGCAAGCGCUGUCCUCAGCGUGUCUGCGACGUCGGUGCUACGGUGUGCCGACGCAUCGUGUGACUGGUCGACGUGCGAGGUGCAGAAUUGUCGCUGCGGAAGCUACAGGAGCUACUGCGGUUGCUGCGAAUCCUGCCACUCGUGCCCCAACGAAGAAUGCACCGACCUGUACGAGGACACCUGUUUGGGGGGCUACCACUGCGCCAGGGACAGCAGCUGGCGAAGCAUUCAGAUCAGCGGCAGGGGACGUUGCAGGAUUAACCGAGGAAGGACUGUUGUGACCAACUGCUAGGCGGUUAUGGCGCGCUUUAGAUGAAUCAGACUGACUCUGUAAACGCAAACUUUGUUUCUGGGACAUUUCAGAGGGUCAAAACGGUUUAAUGCGUCUCGUAUCUUCGACACUAUUCUUGCAACAAUGUUUGUGUUAAAGGGACAGUCCAGACAGGCACCAAAAACAAUUUUGACUUAUAAAAUUGUGUUCCAGAAUUUUAGAUUCGUUAGUGUAAUGGCAAUGUGUUGGUUACCAGAAGAGAAAUUUAUGAUUGUCAAAAUUCUAUUUGAUCUUGAUUUUAAUUUUUCGCCGGAAUCCCGGCACCGGUGUACGCCACAGUGUCGUCAUGAAUGUCGAAGUAGCUAUACCGUUCUUGCGUAGUAAAAGUUCUCGAAGAUUGCAA